GCGACGUGCCGAGAAUCCGGCCGGCCCCGCGCCGAUCAGGCUGCGGGCCGGGCCCGGUGUCGGGGUGGGCAGGGCCCUGGCCGACCCUUCCCGGCCAGAGACCCCGCGGCUUCGUCCACACCUUGACUUUCCGAGGGAACGCGGGGACACAGGGGCCCCAAGGCAGUUGGGGGCGCCCCGGGGCCCGGGGCACCUGGAGAUGCGCGGCUCCCUCCCGGCAGAGGAGGGCGGGCUCGCCCGCUCCCGGGGCAGGAGGUGGACGGAGGAGCCCCAGUCCCAGCUCAGACGGGUUCCCUCGCCACCUUCCGGACAAAGUGUCAAGUACAAGUUCAAGUUCAGGGCCAAGCCCAGGGGGUAGGGGCGAGCCUUCCCCGGCCUCCUUUGUUCUUCGAGAUAAUCGCUCCCAAAUCCCCUCCGGGCGGGGCCCGGCAGACGCCCCCGCCCCGCCCCGCCCCGCCGCGCCCCGCAGGAGCCGCCUCCUCCCGCCCGCCGGCGCGGCGCCUGUCCCCUGGUCCCGGCGCCCCAUCUCGGGGCCGCCGAAGGGUCUGGGGGCUCCGGCGGGGGGGAGGCGCGAUCCGAGUCCGUGGGAGCCUCCCCAGCCCCGCAGUCCCAGCAGCAAACCAAGCUUGGCCGGACGGAUGCUCACGCCGAGAAAGAAGAAUCACUCACACGGCUCAAAAUUCAAAAGGAACAAAACGCACACCGUCACUACGCAAUUCAAGUUCUGUUUCUACAACUUCGCUGUCACCGACUUAGGGCUUGGAGACACAAAUGGCGCCUGAAGCUGCUUGGUUGGUUCCACCCCCACCCCCAACAGGUGCAGAGGCCAAACGUGGAGUUAGCAGUUGUCGGAAUUAUGUCCGUGUAGAACACAGGGCUAAUUAAAGAUCGUCCCUGAGCUAACAUCUGUGCCAAUCUUCCUCUAUUUUGUAUGUGGGUCGCCGCCACAGCAUGGCUUGAUGAGUGGUGUGUAGAUCCAUGCCCAGGAUCUGAACCCGUGAACCUGCGAACCCUGGGCUGCUGACACAGAGCACGUGAACUUAACCACUACACCACUGGCCCAGCCCCUAUGUUAUGUAUAUUUUGCCAUAAUAAAAAAAAAUCUGAAAAAAAC
rnacentral:lncRNA from 1 species